rnacentral:rRNA from 1 species
AAGGGCACCACAAGAACCGUGGAGCAUGUGGCUUAAUUUGACUCAACGCGGGAAAUCUUACCGGGUCCGGACACACUGAGGAUUGACAGGCAAUAUUAAUAUUUUUCUGUUUACAGUAAUUUAUUAUGUUAAAUAUGCUAGUCCUUUCAUGAUUAUGUGAUAGGUGGUGCAUGGCCGUUCUUAGUUCGUGGAGUGAUCUGUCUGCUUAAUUGCGUUUCACUAAGGGCCUAUAAUUUACGUGUGUUGCGGCACUUUGACCCCUCAUUUUUUUUUUAAUUAAAAUUUAUGAGCGCGCGUCUUAGUUUGUUUAGCUCACACAAUUAGGUCCUGAAAGCAACGAACGUGACCGCAACCUCUUGUUGCCUUUAUACCAAACAUGAGUUUAAUUCUCUUCGGAGGGUUUUCAUGAAAAAAGGCUUUUUAAACUAGAGGGACCGCUGUUACUUUCUUAAACCAGAGGAAGGUUGCGGCAAUAACAGGUCUGUGAUGCCCUUAGAUGUUCCGGGCUGCACACGUGCUACAAUGAUUAUUGCAGUGAGCAUCUCAUUUUUUACACACCGCAUACGCGAGUCUAUUUAUUCACUUUCGGGUGCUUUAAAUGUGAUCUCUGCGAGCGGUAAAGCCUGCUUCGAAAGUAAGUGGGUAAUCAAUUAGAAGUAAUGAUUUCCUUUUUUUUAGCACACAUAUAUACGGCGUUUAUACCCGGGCUGCACUUGUUGUAGCUUUUGUGCGUAUAGAUGUUUUUUCCGUAUGUGCGAUUGUCAAUUCAUGGUGGGGACAGACCAUUGUUAAUUGUUGGUCUCGGUCUUAACUAGGAAUGCCUUGUACGGGUCUUUGGUUCAACAAACCACCCGGAAUACGUCCCUGCCCUUUGUACACACCGCCCGUCGCUCUUACCGAUGGACUUCUCUGUGAGUUUGAGGGACUGGGAACGCAGAUUUUAAUCUGCACACCUAUGGAAACUUAAACGAACAGUGUGGUCUAAAGGAAAGAGAAGUCGUAACAAGGCAUCGGUAGGUGAACCUGCAGAAGGAUCA